AUAGUAUAAUCCGUAAAAAACUUAAAGGUUCCUUUUUUAUAAAUUUCUUGAUUAAACACCUUGGGUAACUUCCAAUCAUCUAAAUCAUUUUGGAUCUUAUGAUAAUUGAUCUCUUCACUAUUUACAACAGUAUCUUGAGAAUCAGUGGAUCUCCUAGACAUGGUUCUGAAAAUUGAACUCAUUUUAGGGUUUUGAUCUAGAGCCUAAUAGCAGAUUGACAGACCUUACGAGACGUCACCCCAACCCUCUUAC
rnacentral:lncRNA from 1 species